GUGCUCGCUUCGACAGCACAUAUACUAAAAUUGGAAUGAUACAGAGAGGAUGAGCUUGGCCCCUGCGCAAGGCUGACACACAAAUUCUUGAAGCAUUACAUAUUUUU